AGACGUCAUCAGUGACGUCACUGAUGACGUCUUCAGUGAUGAUGACGAUGCGGAUGCCAAAACGUCAUCAGUGACGUCACUGAUGACGUCAU
rnacentral:pre_miRNA from 1 species